AAGAAGAGAUGUCCACAUCUCUUUGAAUUCGGAGGGAAUACAGAUCAAGGUACUAAUUCUCUUCUUAGUACUCUUUGAAUUAUGAAUGAGCAUGUUGAUUGCUGCAUUUACUUGUUGGGUGUUUGAACUAGAUGUUACCGCCCUUAGCCUAGUGAAACAAAGCUCAUUCGAGGACGAAUGUUCCCAAGAGGGAGAUAUUGUAACAUCUUGCACCUAGAAAUGACUAUAAAGAGUUUAAAAUAUGAAAAUAUUGAUUUAUGGAAAGAAUAAGGAAAUCUGGAAAUUUUGUCUAAGUUAAGAAAGUAAGUUUUGGCCAUUUUCAAACGGCCAUAACUCCUAGCUCAGGAGGAUUUUAGGAGAAGAUCUUGAUAUGGUUGGAAAUCCCUUGGAGAUAUCUUUCCAAUGCCGCCGAGAUUGCACGAUUUCGACAUCGUAUGAGUGACAUAUGCCUUUUGGAAGUUGGGUUGUUAGAUUGAGGAAAGUCCUAAUCUGGAUUUAGGGAAGGGCAAAGUAGUCUUUUCUCUAAUUAAUUUCCUAAUUCAUUUUUUAAGGAUUUUAUUGGGGUAAAAACAUGACUUAGUCAGUUUGGAGAAUUGAGAAAUAACGCUUAGGGCUUGGAGAAAAAGAGAAAAGAAGAAAGAAAGGGAGAAAAAGGCAAGAAUUCGUCAAGAUCAUCCAAGUUUGCGAGUGGAAUUCGUUGGGGUGAUCCCUAUUAAGGUAUGUGAGAUCUUUUCAUGUUGGGUUAGUUCACCCACACAACAACUUGUUUCAAUCCAUUGAUUUUGAGUUGUGUACAUGUUGAAGAAGUGAGGUUCUUGAAGAACAAAUUGUAGAAUUCUUGUAGGUUGAGUUGUUGAUGCUUGGGGGUGAAUUGAUUCAUGUUUCCGGGUUGUUUUCAAGUUAGAUUGGUUGUAUAUUGAGGGUCCAAUUGAUCCUAAGUGUUUGGGGAAAUAAUUAUGGAAGUUAAGGGAGUUUAGAGAUGAAAACGGAAUAGAAAAGUCGAAAGUCACUGGCAAAAAGGACUGGACGUCGCGCCUGCUUGAGCACCACAAAAACUUCUUUGAAGUUUGGCCUUUGGCGUGUCACGCCAGCCAGAGCGCCAGCCAGGCUUCUCUGAAGUUUGAGGGCUGGAUCCCCGUGCCUCUCAGAGCGCCAGGGACGCCAGUUCUCCCCAUUCGUUCCCCAUCUUUUAGUACUAGUUCCUAGGUGAUGUACCUAUGUUUCCUAGUUGAUUCUAACACUCUAAGGUACAUCUAAACAUCAUGAAAUCAUCCAUAAAAAUGAGAUCAUGAACCUUGAAUCCAUAAUCCAAUUCAAGGAAAGUUAAGAUCAAAGUCAAAGAAGUUAAAAGCCAAGUCUAGAAGUUAAGAAGCAAGUCAAAGCAAAGUUUCUUAAAGUUUUCAAGAGUCUUUAACAAUGUUCUAACUUCGUUUUAAGACUCAAGUUUUCAAGUUAAGCAAAGAGUAAAGAGUUGAGUCCAUUUCUCAAAAAAGGGAACUAAGCAUUCCCAAAGAGUUUAUAAAUGUUUUCACAUUUGAGCAAGAAAAGGGAACAUCGAUUCCAAGAGAGCUUUUAAGCUAAGUUUUGAGUAAUUAUCUCAAUUCAAAGAAAGAGUUUUGUUUUUACAAAUAUAUGAACUAAGUAUAUUUUGGGAGUAGUGUUGAGCACUGAUAUGGGGAUGCGAGUUCAUAUUAACUCAAGUCUCCAUAAACCAUGUAGCCAUCAUGAGUAGUAAAAGAUCAUACUUUUUAGAUGACUUCUUAAGAUGCUUUUAGCAUAGACUAGUGGAUCCACUAAGUUAAGCGUUCUAUAUGACGGCAAAGUAUAGGACAGUUCUGGCAGCGUAGGCAAGACGUUGUAUCACCACUUAGGCUCAUAGUGGUGGUUGUCGGUUAGAGAAUCUCCUACAAAAGUUAUAUUACUUUUAUAUUAAGUAAAGUUGAGUUUGUUAUUACUUUAUUUUUAACGAACUAAGUUGUUUACACUGUUUUACAAGCUUUAUAUAUAUUGCAUGUGUCUUAUUGCUUUAUAUUGAGUUCAGUUGUUCAUGAGUUAAACAGAGCCAAGGUAAGUGUUCCUUUGUACUCCUUUCAAGCUUAAGUUGUUGUUUAGCUUUCCAACUCACAUACUCGUAUAUUCAAUGUACUGAUGCCAGUUGGCCUGCAUCUUAUUAAGAUGCAGACACAGGUAAUCAGGAUCAGCAUCCAGCACGCCGUUGAUCCAGUUGAGUACUCUAGAGUCGGUGGUGAGCCUCCUUACAUUCCGAAGGACUCUGUUAUUUCGCUUUACUAGUUUUGCUUUAUUAGAAUGUUGUGGGGUCUGUCCCAACAUCCAUCUCAGUAUUAUAGAGGCUUCAUAG
rnacentral:lncRNA from 1 species